rnacentral:lncRNA from 1 species
CAGCCCCCCAUCCCGCAUAGGCCGGCAAAACAAGCAGAUGAAGCCUAUGACCACCAUAUUUAGAGCCCUAAAGAAAAUUUUAGAAUUGUUGCCCCAGGUCCCUGAGGCAAGAAUAUGGCACAACAAUGUUCGCUAGGAGGUAAAUCAGAAUGAAACUUAAAACAGAUAUCAUGAAAGUAGGCACUCCUAAAUCCAUUGCUCCAUGGGCCUGCAAUCAGCCCUCCAAAUGCUCCACCUCAUGAUAAGAACCCUAAGAUAAGUCAGAGUAUCAAUCUGUUCAGGGAUCCUCAGCCUAUCCUGAAUCACCUGCUUCACUUGGAUCUUCAUCUUGGAGCUGAAGGUGAUAGUGGACUUUUGCAAAUUUAUGAGCUGGCCAGAUGCCCGACAGUAAGCCUCAAUAAUAGAUGUGAAGCACCUCGAAUUCCACAUUGAGGUCCAACCAAUGAGCAAGUAAUCAUCUGUAAACAGAAGAUGCGAGAAUGGCUACAUCCUAAGAGCAGGUCAGUAUGGUCCAGCUUUGCCCCCUGAAUCAUCACUUGAAAAGCAUGAGAUAGAGAAUCAAUAUAUAAAAUAAAUAAGUAGGG